AUUGAACGCUGGCGGCAGUCCUAACACAUGCCAGUCGGGCGAGCGGCGUACGGGUGAGUAAUGUAUGGGGAUCUGCCUUCUGGCGGGAGAUAACUACUGGAAACGAUCUCUAAUACCGCAUACCCACAGAUGCACCCAUAUGGGAUUAGCUUGUAGGUGAGGUAACGGCUCACCUAGGCGACGAUCCCUAGCUGGUCUGAGAGGAUGAUCAGCCACACUGGGACUUAGACACGGCCCAGACUCCUACGGGAGGCAGCAGUGGGGAAUAUGGCACAAUGGGCGCAAGCCUGAUGCAGCCAUGACGCGGGUAUGAAGAAGGCCUUCGGGUUGUAAAGUACUUUCAGUCGGGAGGCGUUACCGACAGAAGAAGCACCGGCUAACUCCGUGCCAGCCGCCGCGGUAAUAC
rnacentral:rRNA from 1 species